UGCUCUGACAAUGGGCAGAGAGACACCUUGUUGGUUGUGCUGUUGUUCUAUCAGUCAGGAGCAGAACAAAUGUCAGUCCUUUGUUCAUCCUAACUUGAUGUCUGGCUUGAUGGCCAAAGCUGUUUUAUACUUAGGACACAUAA
ensembl:snoRNA LOC120100400 small nucleolar RNA SNORA48